rnacentral:rRNA from 1 species
UAAGACGAACCGUGCGAACGUUAUUCGGAAUCACUGGGCUUAAAGGGCGCGUAGACGGGCGACCGCGUCGAGUGCUGAAAGCCCCCGGCUCAACCGGGGAACGGGCCUCGAUACGGGUCGCCUCGAGGGGAGGAGGGGGACCCGGAACGGCCGGUGGAGCGGUGAAAUGCGUUGAGAUCGGCCGGAACGCCGACGGCGAAAGCAGGGUCCUGGACUCCUUCUGACGUUGAGGCGCGAAAGCCAGGGGAGCGAACGGGAUUAGAUACCCCGGUAGUCCUGGCCGUAAACCAUGGGCACUGGGUAGGGGGCUCGCCGAUGGGCUCCCUGCCGCAGCGAAAGCGUGAAGUGCCCCGCCUGGGGAGUAUGGUCGCAAGGCUG